GAAAACAGCCCGUAGAGGAAUCCUUGUUCGAUGGAAAAUCAAUGAACCGUGCACACAUCCGAUCGAUCAUGGUACCCUGAUAUAAAUCGACAGGCUGUGAGACGAUACAAAAAGAAUCGGUACGCGAGCUGGACGGAAAUUAUCCAAUUACCGUGCCCGUAUUAGCUUCGGUUGCAGUCUAAUAAUUGCACCGACGCUGCAACGCAGCGACCUUUCUGCGAGGCGCGACGCAGCCAUCAAUUUAGAUCCGGUCGAUCGUGAACGAGGAGAUCGACUCUGGUGGAUCUUGGCGAAUUUCAAUUUGGAAAUCAUCCCUUCGACCCUGAAUUAGCACUCACCGGCAGAUUCCUGAUACCAAGCCGCACCUUGGAGUAUUUCUUCAUGAAGACCCGCCACAGCACCAGCUUCGAUGGUUUAACCCUUCAACGUUCGAACGCACGUCUCACUGUCCACGCCAUUACGACCGUUCGAUUAUCGAAAUAACACGGCAUCUCGAUCGCGCUCGAGACAAGGACAGCGCGAACACGGUUUUCGCGGGG